UACGGCCAUAUAAUUUUGAAACAUUGGUUCCCGUACGAUCACCGAAGUUAAGUAAUAUCGAACUUGAUCUGUACUAAGAUAAGUAAGCGUUUGGGAAUAGCAAGUGCU